AAGUCGUAACAAGGUAACCGUAGGUGAACCUGCGGUUGGAUCAUUAACAAAAUCCAAUUACAAGUUUUGUGGGAAGGGGUGUCAAAGCUCUGGUACCGCAAUUCUUGUUUUUUAACACAAUGUGAACUGUAAUUGUCUCUGGUGUGGUUUAAGAGUCUUUUUUUUGUUUCGGGCAAGAAAAGAUAGCUUCUCCUUCCUUCCUUGCUUUUUUUAGCGGGGUGGAUACCAUGGGGGGGGAGCUACCCACCGUUAUAUAUAAACUUUUUUAAUUUUAAUUGGUCUUUAUAAAUAAAGUUUUUAGUACUUUAAAAUUUCUUAAAUUUAAAAAAAAAACAACUUUUGGCAACGGAUCUCUAGGCUCUU
rnacentral:misc_RNA from 1 species